rnacentral:rRNA from 1 species
AGAGCGAACGCUGGCGGCAGGCCUAACACAUGCAAGUCGAACGGACCCUUCGGGGUUAGUGGCGGACGGGUGAGUAACACGUGGGAACGUGCCUUUAGGUUCGGAAUAGCUCCUGGAAACGGGUGGUAAUGCCGAAUGUGCCCUUCGGGGGAAAGAUUUAUCGCCUUUAGAGCGGCCCGCGUCUGAUUAGCUUGUUGGUGAGGUAAUGGCUCACCAAGGCUACGAUCAGUAGCUGGUCUGAGAGGAUGACCAGCCACAUUGGGACUGAGACACGGCCCAAACUCCUACGGAGCAGCAGUGGGGAAUCUUGCGCAAGUGGGCGAAAGCCUGACGCAGCCAUGCCGCGUGUAUGGAUGAAGGUCUUAGGAUUAGUAAAAUACUUUCACGGUGAAGAUAAUGACUAGUAGCCGGAAGAAGAACGCCCCGGAUAACGUUCGUCGCCAGCAGCCGAC